AAGAAGAAGAAAUUCCAGCUCCAAUAGCGUAUAUUAAAGUUGUUGCAGUUAAAAAGCUCGUAGUUGAAUUUUGGGUUUGGCCAAUUGGUCCGUUCUUGUAACGAGUACUGGUUGGUUGGGCCUCACCGCCUGGUGAUACGUAAUGUCCUUUAUUGGGUGUUGCGAGUAGCCAGGACCUUUACCUUGAAAAAAUUAGAGUGUUUAAAGCAGGCUUAUGCCGGAAUACAUUAGCAUGGAAUAAUAGAAUAGGACGAUGAUUCUAUUUUGUUGGUUUCUAGGAGCAUCGUAAUGAUUAAUAGGGAUAGUUGGGGGCAUUAGUAUUCAAUUGUCAGAGGUGAAAUUCUUGGAUUUAUUGAAGACUAACUACUGCGAAAGCAUUUGCCAAGGAUGUUUUCAUUAAUCAAGAACGAAAGUUAGGGGAUCGAAGACGAUCAGAUACCGUCGUAGUCUUAACCAUAAACUAUGCCGACUAGGGAUCGGGCGAUGUUGUUUCAAUGACUCGCUCGGCACCUUAUG
rnacentral:rRNA from 1 species